rnacentral:lncRNA from 1 species
GUGCGACGUCUUUCUGAACUCCUCCGACCGUCCGAGCUUCCACAGUACCAUCCAGACUCCUCUAGCAGUCGACCUUCUACAGUAUCCUCCAGAUUCCUCCAACGUCCGAACUCCUACCGUACCCUCCAAACUUCUCCAAUAAUGAGCUCCUUCCAGACUUCUUCAUGUCAUGAUCGACUUUACUCCAAGCUUCUUUCGGACUUCAUCAAUGUCCGAGCUUCUCCAGUAGCAAGAC